rnacentral:rRNA from 1 species
GACGUAGGGCGCAAGCGUUGUCCGGAUUUAUUGGGCGUAAAGAGCUCGUAGGCGGCUUGUCGCGUCGGCUGUGAAAUCCCGUGGCUUAACUGCGGGUCUGCAGCCGAUACGGGCAGGCUAGAGUUCGGUAGGGGAGACUGGAAUUCCUGGUGUAGCGGUGAAAUGCGCAGAUAUCAGGAGGAACACCGGUGGCGAAGGCGGCUCUCUGGGACGGUACUGACGCUGAGACGCGAAAGCGUGGGGAGCGAACAGG